rfam:Gossypium hirsutum cultivar TM-1 unplaced genomic scaffold scaffold304.1, whole genome shotgun sequence
GGUCUAAAAUUUCAUCCAUUUGUACUAUUAAAAACUGACGUAUAACCAAAUAAUGACAUGUGAUGUGCCAUGUACCCCUCAUGUUGAUAUAUAAAGACCAAUUUUUAACUGUAAAAAUGGAUGAAAUUUUUAACA